UUCAGACUUCAGAUAUAUGCAAACAUUUUGUUUCUCUCCCCUCGUUCCGAUUCGGUUGCCGAACCGAUCUCUCUUCUCUCUGGUUGAUCACUAGUUUCCUCCCGUCGAUUUCACUAGUUUGUCUUCUGGACGCCGACGUCGCGCGGUGGAGGAGGAGGGAGGUGAACUUGGUCAAGGUCAAGAAGAACAAGCGUGAGGAGCACUCGCUAAAGAAGAGGAGAAAAUGCUUGCCUCAGUCGCAGUAGAUCGACGGGGCGUUGCCGAGAAAACGGUAGCCGACGCCUCUCUUGAUUUCUCGUGUUUGGUUUUGCGAAUUGAAGUUUAGGUUGAGGUGUUUUUUUGUGUCGUUGGCUUUUAUAUGGUUGUGGUAUGGACUAUGGAGACCUUGUAAUGCUGAGAUCCAUGCCUUGGAUUCAUUUACGAGGAGCAGAUUGUCCAUGCCUUGUUUGCUGAAGUGCCAGAGAGAUAUGGAGAAAGAAAUGGUGGUUAUACUAGAAUUAUCAGAAAACUACCUAGGCGAGGGGACAAUGCACCCAUGGCAUACAUUGAACUUGUCUAGCUGUUUGCUAAUCUUUUAACAACACGAUCUUGACCCGGAGUUGUUUUUGAGCUUCUAGGUCUUGACAAUUAUUGAUUGCAAAAUCUCAGAUUAAAGUCUGCAUCUUAAAUGUUUGCUCAAUGGAGUGCAUCUUGAAUUUCCUGACAUCACCCUUUUAUUAGUUCACAUUCACAUUGUGUCUCUAAGCCAUGAAGAAGCUACUGCCAAAUCAGAUUGCAAGGUGUUUGAGUUUGCUGACAAGGACAUGGGAGCCUUCAUCAUUGGAUUGAAGAAAUCUCUAUAUGGCCCAUUCUGUAGUGUCUCCUCUGGUUAUCAGGUAAUGCUUUGAUCUAUUUUUAAGUCCUCAAUUAUGGUUGUUUCUAUAACUCUAUAAGAAGUGGUUACUUAAUUUGAUUUAUGUUGAGGGAGUUUCAACAGCAUAUAUAUAAAGAUUGGAUCAAUAGGUUUAAUGAGAAUAAACUUCAGGUGUUGUGGCUACCUCUACGCUUUGAUUACACUCUGGUUACACUGGAUCACACUUGUAUGAUCAUAUCUUGUCGUUGGUGAGGCUGGUGUCUAAGAUCAAUAUACUAAACCCUUAUAUUUCUUGCCAUAUAGUAGGUUUUACCUGUUGACGAUAAGUUGGUAUAAAAGCUGAAUCCAUAUUGCAUUACUUUUAAGUGAUUUUAUAGACUCAGUGUAUGUUUCUUGCAAAGUUUUUAAUAAGUGGUAUAUAAGAACGAAGUGUGUGGUAUGCAAAAGCCUAAUAAGAAAAUUAAUUUAUGAGAUAAGGUAUGUAUUGCUUGCUAAGUUUCUUCACUAUGCUUAUGAUCUUUAUGUGGUUUUAUUUGUGAAGCUUCCUAAUUUUUGGUUUAACUUGCUUUUACAGCUUCUGCUAUCAGACUCACUUGACAGCUUGAAUAUUGAUGAUCUACGGAUUGGUGUUUUGUCAUGUUGGUGGCUGUUACACCCCUAAGUGCUACAUGCACUAUGUGCGUGGGCGAGGUUCACCCUUGCACCAACCCAAGCAUGCACGACAAUCAAGCAAGGAGCCAAGUAUAGACGGACCAAGCCAAACUUAGAGACCAAGCUGCAAGCAAAGCACGGCGUAGGCAAAUGCAGGACUGUGCAUGGAGAUUAGCCUCACCAGCAGGACAGUUGCAGGGAUAUUAGCCUCGCCAGCCCAGAUGCAAGACUGUGCAGGGAGAUUAGCCUCACCAGCAGGACAGUUACAGGGAUAUUAGCCUCGCCAGCCCAGAUGCAGGACUGUGCAGGGAGAUUAGCCUCACCAGCAGGAUAGUUGCAGGGAUAUUAGCCUCGCCAGCAGGACAGAAUGCAAGCGGUUACAUGCAGUUACAGAGAGGCAGUUGCAGGACAGUUUUGGAUGAGUUGGCAAUGGAAGUUACAACCUUGGUUAUCUUAGGCAGUUACCUAAGUAGUGGGGGUUGUCCACUACAUAAUAGAAUAAUGGUAUGCAUGACAAGUGUCAUUGGCAGUUGAAGGGAAGUUACAUCUUCCAUGUUUGUAGGUAUUUAAGAAAACAGAAAACCUAGCAUGAGACUUGGAGAAGUUCUAGUGAACAUUGUCAAGAUCCUUGCUAUUCUAUGUAUGUUUGCUUUGUUUAAUGCAAAGAA